UCGUCCCCGACAUUCCUUCGUGUAUACUUAUUUCUUCACAAUCUGAUUUAAGCUUCCAGUAGACAAGGUUAUUGAGUAGAUGUGCUGGUAAUAAAAGAUCUGCCUAGCUCAAAUCGUCCUGAUAGUUUGGAGGUUGGUUUUCUAUCUUUGCCAUAUGUCCUCUAUGGUCGACUUGCCCUUCACUUUUGGUAUCUCAUCCAUAUUCCCCUCUCCCCAAAGAUCUACCGGAGUGGCAUGUUCACCAUGAAUCAUCGGGGGAAGUUGUCCCUACUUACUGGUUAUAAUGACUACCACAAUCAGAGAUGGUUUCAAAGGUUCAUGAUGCCAAACGGGUACCUCGUUAACUCAGAGAAAUUGUCUUUCCUAGAGAAGCAAAAUCCCAACUUUAAGUACCCUUUCUUAGGGUUUUUAGCUUUUAGUCAAUGGAUUUCUCUAACUUUUAUCUUUUGCAGGGUUGAUGAUAUUGAAGAAUGGGUGUCCUAGAUUCUAAGGGUUUAUUCCACAGAAUUAUGGACGUGGAAGAAUAUUGCUUUCGGUCUUAACCUGAGAACCAAAACCUACGGAGUUCCCACUCAUGGUCCUCCCAAGGAGAAACGACAUCCUCUACCUCGG
rnacentral:lncRNA from 1 species